rnacentral:rRNA from 1 species
CAUGCAGUCGAGCGGGCACUUCGGUGUCAGCGGCAGACGGGUGAGUAACACGUGGGAACGUACCCUUUGGUUCGGAAUAACGCUGGGAAACUAGCNCUAAUACCGGAUACGCCCUUUUGGGGAAAGGCUUGCUGCCGAAGGAUCGGCCCGCGUCUGAUUAGCUAGUUGGUGGGGUAAUGGCCUACCAAGGCGACGAUCAGUAGCUGGUCUGAGAGGAUGAUCAGCCACACUGGGACUGAGACACGGCCCAGACUCCUACGGGAGGCAGCAGUGGGGAAUAUUGGACAAUGGGCGCAAGCCUGAUCCAGCCAUGCCGCGUGAGUGAUGAAGGCCUUAGGGUUGUAAAGCUCUUUUGUCCGGGACGAUAAUGACGGUACCGGAAGAAUAAGCCCCGGCUAACUUCGUGCCAGCAGCCGCGGUAAUACNAAGGGGGCUAGCGUUGCUCGGAAUCACUGGGCGUAAAGGGCGCGUAGGCGGCCAUUCAAGUCGGGGGUGAAAGCCUGUGGCUCAACCACAGAAUUGCCUUCGAUACUGUUUGGCUUGAGUAUGGUAGAGGUUGGUGGAACUGCGAGUGUANAGGUGAAAUUCGUAGAUAUUCNCAAGA